GCCACCAGAGCAGAGGGCAGCUUCUUGACUACCUUCCUCUGUCGUGGUGGGGGUUUGCUUUCCUCCUGCCAACCUUUAGACUCUACCUCCUUCAGAGCACCAAACAUCUUGUUCACGUCCUCUACCUGAAAGUGGAAGAGCCAAACAAGUGGAGAGAGAGAGAGAGAAGAGUGGUUGCCCUUUUUAGAAAGCUUGCAUCCACAUUUUCAACCUUUCAGGAUGCUCUACCAAUCUAGGUGGUAAUUCUUCCUAGAGGUAGCUAGCGUAGUUUAGCUGUAGUGUUAACAGACAGGCACAAACAGAGUUUAACCACCAGUGUCUGACUGUUUGUUCAUCUAAUUCUACACACACACAGUAGACCAUGUCCUCAUUAACCCACAUCGUAGGAGAUCAUGUCCUCCUAGUCACUAACCCACUUGGUAGUACACCAUGUCCCAGAAGCCUUGCAGGUCGGUGCAGGUGGUGAUCUUCUUUCCUCUGCCCAGCUCAGUCAUCCACCAGGCCAGAGAACUGAUCAAACCUCUCCUUCAUCAGCAGCCUGGCCUGGCCCACCGCCGUACGCAUACGGUCCCGCACUUCACAGGGAUGGAGGUCAACACAGAUAGAAAAGGUGGUGCUGCAGACUGCUUGGCAAUUGAUCUGGUCUUGGAAGCUGGAGCAGGUUUGUCCUUUGCCACAGGGGCCACAGAGACCCGAGGCCUAUUAGCUGAACUUGUGGAUGGGGCUCUAACUACUGGUUCAACUGCAGGAAAUUGGAAAAAUGACAGUCAUGAGUUACGAGUCAAGGAUAUGUUUAUCAGGGUCAAAUAAUUGGCAAAACAAAAGGCGUGGAGAGUAACGUAAAGAAUAGCUGUGUGUAGUACAGUUGACAGAUUGUUGUCAUGGUUUGGAGUGUUACCAAUAGCAAUCCUGGUCCUUCUGGCUGACUUGACCACAGCUGGUUCAACUAAGCCAAAACCAGGUAGAGGUCAAGGGUCAGCAAGUGUUGAAUCAUGCAAACAAUUUAAAGAUGAUAUAGGCUGGACUAAUUGUUUUAGAGGUAAAGUGGGGGUAAAGAAACACCAACCUUUUCUUGAAACAGGGAGAGUGUCAAUAGGAUGUGUUGCCAAGGUCAAUGGAACAGAGAAAAAAACUGCAUAUUGUAACUUAUAUGGUUAUUCAAAAAAGCAGCUAUCGUAGUUCUUGAUGUAACAGAAAAUCUUACAUAAAGACAUGUGCAGAACAAAUGUAGACUUGGCAGGGAAAAAGUCACCUUGGGGGCCCGCUGCCUCAUGGUGGAGCGAGUCACUCUGGUGGAUUGGGGCUGGACCACUGGCGUUGUUGCCUGGUUGGGGGGAAAAGCCUAGUUAUGGCCAUGUAACAACCACUAAGAACACCAGUUCUUCUGUUCUUAUAUGCUAAUGAAUUUUGGGCACAUCGAAGUUGAUCCUCCGGUGAUGAGUCAAUUACAUUUUCAUCAAAUCAAUGAUUGAACAGUGACUCCCAAGAACGAUGGAUAUAACAUCUAUAGACAUGUCAGCAGUAUACUGAGUCAGUCUUAAGCUGUGCCCUCUCACCCUGGCUUUGAUUGUGGCAGCUGGGGCCUGCGGCAGAGGGACCAGGGGCUGAGCCUCUGGCCGGUACAGCCCAACCUUGAACACCCCCUUCUUCUCCCUUGCCCUCUUUUCUUUCUCCUUCACAAGCUCCUUCUUCUCUUUGUAGCAGGCAAGCUUUUUCAUUCGCUCCUCCACUGCAGCGUCUGAGAAAAAAGAAGGAGGGAGUUGGAGAGAAAAUAGAUCAGUGUGGGAUUACAUAAUGUUAGUGGGAGUGGAGGAUGAAGAGGCAUGAGGGUGAAGUUGGCUCAGGCUCAUUUUUUAGACAUACUCCACAGUUUCAGAGAAUAAAAUAUUGUAGCCAGUAACAUUACUUAGAGCAGUGGUUCCCAAACUUUGGGGAGCACACCCCUUGGGUCAGUAGGGGGGAGGGGGGGGGGGGGGGGGGGGGG
rnacentral:lncRNA from 13 species